AGACACGGCCCAGACUCUACGGGAGGCAGCAGUGGGGAAUAUUGCACAAUGGGCGGAAGCCUGAUGCAGCAACGCCGCGUGAGGGAUGACGGCCUUCGGGUUGUAAACCUCUUUUAGCAGGGAAGAAGCGAAAGUGACGGUACCUGCAGAAAAAGCACCGGCUAACUACGUGCCAGCAGCCGCGGUAAUACGUAGGGUGCAAGCGUUAUCCGGAAUUAUUGGGCGUAAAGAGCUCGUAGGCGGUUUGUCGCGUCUGCUGUGAAAUCUGGGGGCUCAACCCCCAGCCUGCAGUGGGUACGGGCAGACUAGAGUGCGGUAGGGGAGAUUGGAAUUCCUGGUGUAGCGGUGGAAUGCGCAGAUAUCAGGAGGAACACCGAUGGCGAAGGCAGAUCUCUGGGCCGUAACUGACGCUGAGGAGCGAAAGGGUGGGGAGCAAACAGGCUUAGAUACCCUGGUAGUCCACCCCGUAAACGUUGGGAACUAGUUGUGGGGUCCAUUCCACGGAUUCCGUGACGCAGCUAACGCAUUAAGUUCCCCGCCUGGGGAGUACGGCCGCAAGGCUAAAACUCAAAGGAAUUGACGGGGACCCGCACAAGCGGCGGAGCAUGCGGAUUAAUUCGAUGCAACGCGAAGAACCUUACCAAGGCUUGACAUAUACGAGAACGGGCCAGAAAUGGUCAACUCUUUGGACACUCGUAAACAGGUGGUGCAUGGUUGUCGUCAGCUCGUGUCGUGAGAUGUUGGGUUAAGUCCCGCAACGAGCGCAACCCUCGUUCUAUGUUGCCAGCACGUAAUGGUGGGAACUCAUGGGAUACUGCCGGGGUCAACUCGGAGGAAGGUGGGGAUGACGUCAAAUCAUCAUGCCCCUUAUGUCUUGGGCUUCACGCAUGCUACAAUGGCCGGUACAAUGGGCUGCAAUACCGUGAGGUGGAGCGAAUCCCAAAAAGCCGGUCCCAGUUCGGAUUGAGGUCUGCAACUCGACCUCAUGAAGUCGGAGUCGCUAGUAAUCGCAGAUCAGCAA
rnacentral:rRNA from 1 species